UAAAAGAAUUCAGCCUACUGAGUGUGAGAGGUACAGAAGGGAGAGGCAAAUAAUGGCUGAAUUCUUUUAUUUUCCCCAGAGGAGUAGAUCUUAUUAGACAAAUAAUAUUUAAAGAUCUUCUCUGCUUUUGCAUUGGCAGCAGGAAUGUAGCCACUCUUCCCUUGGACAACUCUAUGUAGAGAGGAUGACAACUGCAGUUCAACUUUCUGCUAUUUCCAAAAGUUCCAGAAGAGUUUUAUCUCAGUUCUUGGAGCAUCUGGCAACUGAUACUUUUGGUAAAUUAAGAGAUGUUUUAAUGAUGUCCUCUGAAGAUACUCAGAUGUCAGAUGACACUGAACCCUGGGUGUGCAGUGACAAUGCACAAUCAAAGGCUGGCUGCUCUCCCUGCCCCAUGUCCAAAUAUCCAUGGGGCUGAGGAUCCAUCUCCUGCUUUUCCUUCCCAGAGACUUCUUUACAAACACAUUCCACUGCAUGACAGAUCCUGCCUGGCUGCAGGGAAAAGGCUUACUGAAAAUUCAGC
rnacentral:lncRNA from 12 species